rnacentral:lncRNA from 1 species
UUAUUAACAGUUUAAAAAUACAGUUAAAAAAACAAUACAUGCAACAGGGUAUUGUGUAUUGUGAAAUGUUAAAAUCAGUUUGGGUUAUUAGAAAUACCUUAUGUGUUAGUCUUUCGGCAAGGCAUUUCAGCAGUUAUGGAGUUAAUGAGAGUCUGCUAUGAUUGAUGUAUCACAGGACCAAUGGGGUCAAGUUUGUUUUGACCGGGACUUUCUUUCUUGUUCCUGUGGAAUGCAGAGGAGUUUCCUGAGCAGCGAAGAGCAGUGUGUGUGGAUUUUUGUGGAAUAUUGACCCUCUCUGCUCUCUCUGCUGUGGUGCCAUUUCCAAUCAUUUUGAAUAUCUGGAUAGGAAAAUAGUACCCCCUGGCCUCCUGAGAUAGUGUUGGCAACCUUCUUCUCUCAACAUAUCCAUGAGUCAUAUCAACAUCCAUAAUGUUGCCUCCAAACCUAUCCUAGGCUUAUACAUGGGGUCAACUUAUAUGUGGAUAUAUAUAGUAUCAUUUGCCUACCCUAGCUUCUAACUUAUAGUUUUUAUAACUCCCUCUGUUUAUCACAAACUACAAGGGUUGAAUGAAAAGUAAUGCCUCCACCUUCGCUACUUGGGUUUGGAUGGGAAUAUUUUAAUAAAUCAAACAAAGAAAUAAUCCUUAGAAUGUGCUCUUUAACUACCACUAUUCACUUUUUCACAUAAUCACCAGGCAAUUGUAUACAUUUCUGCCAACAAUGAACAUGUUUUCUGACUUGGAAGAAGUCGACACUCUGUUUCCGCAACCUGCGUCUCACAGUACCUAUCGUGCACAGAUCUUCCGAUAGCCAGGUAAAGCAAUAAUGUGGCCCACACGUUCUUGUGAAAUGGCAAUUAUGCUUGCAAUUUCUCUCUGAGU